GGGAUGUGGGGCCUGUGUGCCAAGUGUCUGCCAUCACUGCCAGCCCCUUGGUCUGGAGACACAGGACCAAUACUUGGAGAUGAACAUCAAAGGAUCAUCUGAGUCCUAAUCCAGCCUGCAACCCGACUUCAACUUCCUCAGUGACAGGAGCAAAAGAGAGAGACGCCCAGGACUUGUAGGAGCUGCAGGAGGACCCUUUCCCUUCCGCAUGAGGAGAGGCAUGAGGGUGUGAAAUCUGACCAGCUAGAGUGAUUUUGUAACCACCAGAUAAGAAACUGCAGCUGCUGAGGGGCCAUUCUGAGCAGUCCAGGAAUGAAGUCAACACCACAAAAGGCAGACGAGCGAGAUGGUGAGAAACCAGGUCCUGGGGUAUCCUUUGAGGCACUGGACCAAGUCUGACCUGAGGUCUGUCUGACUACUG
rnacentral:lncRNA from 1 species